AUUGGAUUGGGUUGGGUUGGGUUGGGUAUUCACUGAGUGCAGUUUGUGUACGGAUCAGUGUGGAUCGAGUGAUGGGUUGAGUCCUCAGUUUCACGCAGCCGCCGCCCUCGACUCGACACCGGCCGUCUGCGCCGGCCGCCCUCCUCGCCGGCAGGCCGCACCGGCCGGCCUACCCGACGUUCGCGCUCCGCGCCGGCCACCCUAUCCGCCAUCCGUGACGGCCUCCCUUCGUGCCGGCCGCCCUACCCGCCGUCCGCGCCGGCCGCCCUCCGCCAAGCACAACACCAAGGACGACUGUUGGCUCAUCAUCGCUGGCAAGAACCCAGCGAAGAAUAAAGUGAUCAACUGUGAUGCUGCACUCAAAAGCUUGUUUGGUGGGAGGGACAAGGUUGGGAUGCUGGAGAUCCCAAAGCUACUGAACCCUAACUUCAUGAAGAACUAACAGAAGCAACAGAUGGCACCAACGAUGGAGCUUUCGUCUAAGACUUUAUUGAAUGGCCUCUUUUGUGAUCCAGUAGGUAGUUAAGCCAAAGUUGUGUGAUGGCGUCAAGAAUUCGUAUUUGUGUUCACCUGUUGGGUUUGGGGCGUGAUGCAUGUAAAAAGGAUUCCCAGUGUUAUCGCUACUCUUGUGAUGUGGGAAAUGUUAGUCUGCUGAUGGCACAUCUUAAUCGAAUGUUUAUGCCUGUCUUAUUGCAGUGAAAAUGUGAAAUGAUUUGUGAUCAA